rnacentral:rRNA from 1 species
AGCUCCAAUAGCAUAUAUUUAAGUUGUUGCAGUUAAAAAGAUCGUAGUUGGAUUUUGGGACGUAAAGGUCGGUCCGCCUACUCAGUGUGCACCUGCCCUUCCGUCCCUUUUGUCGGCGGCGUGCUCCUGGCCUUAAUUGGCUGGGUCGCGGUUCCGGCGCUGUUACUUUGAAAAAAUUAGAGUGCUCAAAGCAAGCUUAUGCUCUGAAUACAUUAGCAUGGAAUAACGUGAUAGGAGUCUGGUCCUAUUGUGUUGGCCUUCGGGACCGGAGUAAUGAUUAAUAGGGACUGUCGGGGGCAUUCGUAUUUCAUUGUCAGAGGUGAAAUUCUUGGAUUUAUGAAAGACGGACCACUGCGAAAGCAUUUGCCAAGGAUGUUUUCA